rnacentral:rRNA from 1 species
UCCCAGACUCCUACGGGAGGCAGCAGUGGGGGAUAUUGCACAAUGGGGGGAACCCUGAUGCAGCGACGCCGCGUGGGUGAAGAAGCGCCUCGGCGCGUAAAGCCCUGUCAGCAGGGAAGAAAAUGACGGUACCUGAAGAAGAAGCCCCGGCUAACUACGUGCCAGCAGCCGCGGUAAUACGUAGGGGGCAAGCGUUAUCCGGAUUUACUGGGUGUAAAGGGGGCGCAGACGGCGAUGCAAGCCAGGAGUGAAAGCCCGGGGCCCAACCCCGGGACUGCAUUUGGAACUGUUAAGCUGGAGUGUCGGAGAGGCAGGCGGAAUUCCUAGUGUAGCGGUGAAAUGCGUAGAUAUUAGGAGGAACACCAGUGGCGAAGGCGGCCUGCUGGACGAUAACUGACGUUGAGGCUCGAAAGCGUGGGGAGCAAACAGGAUUAGAUACCCGUGUAC